UACGAAGGGGGGCUAGCGUUGCUCGGAAUCACUGGGCGUAAAGGGUGCGUAGGCGGGUUUUUAAGUCAGGGGUGAAAUCCUGGAGCUCAACUCCAGAACUGCCUUUGAUACUGAAGAUCUUGAGUCCGGGAGAGGUGAGUGGAACUGCGAGUGUAGAGGUGAAAUUCGUAGAUAUUCGCAAGAACACCAGUGGCGAAGGCGGCUCACUGGCCCGGUACUGACGCUGAGGCACGAAAGCGUGGGGAGCAAACAGGG
rnacentral:rRNA from 1 species